UAAGUAAGUUUGUAAAUACGAAACUUUACGGCUUAGUUAAAAGGAAAUAAAUAACCACCUAAAGUCAUAUCACAUCCGUUUCAAUGAUUAUAGUCAUUUAAUUUGGCUGCUCUAAGCGUCUAGCUUAGUUUUUGUCGCAUGCGACGAUCGACGCUAUUUUUAACGUGUGUACCUUCGUAGAGAGUUUUGCUACUGUUUGUUGAAAUAAUUGCUCUUGACCUUAUGCUAUUUGGUUCAUUUUAGAUUAAAAUAAAACUAUGCUUAAGUUUCUUGGUAAACAUAUCUUAUUUUGCAAAUAAAACUUGUAAUCAGUAGUAGUAAUACCAAUAUUGAAGAUUGUGUGAUACACGUUAACACGUUAUCACGACAUAAGAAUUUAAUUAGUACUCACCAAAUUUUUGAACUAUUAGACAUAGUAACCUCUAUCUAAUCUUAGGAAAGACAAAGGCGAUUACACAUAAAAGAAAUGAAACGAAUUAGUCAUCGCACUAAACAGACGUGAAUUGCUGUUUGAAUACAAAGUAACAUCAAAAUAGAAAGGCGCUGAAAGGAGCCCCAGUUUCGCCGCGUCUUCUAAUUUAAUUAUGUUCCUUAUCAAUGCCUCUAAGUUAUACCAUGUACUUAUUUAUCUAGAUUGCAAAAUAUUUAGAGAACUGUAAACACGAUAGCUGCCAAGAGAAAAAGGCAGAAAUAAAG